rnacentral:lncRNA from 1 species
CACUUGCCUUUUUCUCUUGUUCUUAGGCCUGUUUGGGUCAAGGGUGGCUAUAUAAGUACGAUAAUUCUUUUUUCAAUGAUCCAGCUUCUUACAGAAGAAGCACUCUGCCUGGCUCUUAUCAACUUUUGACGGUUUGCUCUGCUUGAGAUCGACGGCAUGAGAUUUUUGCACCUUUUUCUUCUUUCCUCUCCUAGAGGAUCGAUGCCCUGUAGAUGAACCUCUCACUAAAUUCAUUGGCUCUUUUUGGAGCUGGUGAUCCUUCUCAAAAAUCUAUAAUAACCCUAGCAAACCAUCGUAGUUUACUACAGACUUCAUCAUUCUAUAAUGACUGAGGAAGGGU